GCCCGCCUGGCAGCUCCAGGCCCGGGGGGAGACCCCCCCCCCGGAGCUCACGGAGCCCCUUGCCGCACGGCGUGCCCGCGGUGCCCGGCGGGCGGGGGCUCAAGCCCCAGAGGCCCCCCGCCCCCGGACAGCGCCUCGCCCACCUUCGCCAGCGGCCGGCGCGCAGGGGGCCCCCCCGCCCACGUGUCGCGGAAGCCGUCCGCGCGGGGAAUAUACGCGGAGGCCCCUCAUGCGGCGCUCCGGUCAUUUGCGUGGGCUUGGCUUGAACGGCAGUGGCUGCGCGGCGAAGGAGCGGGUUCCACUGUAUUUUUAGCAGGGAGUGCAGAUUUUAGAACAUCAGCUGCACCUCCUCGUUCCGUCCUGCUCCUCAGGCAUGACGACGUGCCGGAAAAGUAGGGGUAGGGAGCCCUCGUUCACUUUUAUGGGGUGCAGGUUUAAAGGCACAGGGUGUAAAUCAGCUUGUAUAAGAACCGUGGCACCCACGCGCGUGAGCGGAGUUGCCAGGAGCUGACUUGCAGUGAUUAUCUCGGUUUCCAGGGAGACGAGCUUUGCAGCCACCUCCCUGAAGGAUGGAGCAGAGUCUCCGUUCCCACUGAGGUGCUGCAACAGCCAGACUGACUCGGCUUUGCGGGGAGGAAGUGAGCUGACGUCGACGGGUCCUGCGCCCGGCCUCGGAAGGAGGCCUGAGCCGGCCUGGGCGGGCUGGGGGCGGGGCAGUGCAGCAGCCUCGCCAAGCAAGGGGCCUGAACGAGGCAGGCUCACCUGUGAAGCGUCUCCCUUCCCAGCCGCCUGGCGCAGCUGCAGCCCCGGGAGGAACUUGGGGCCCCACAGUGAACUCGGAGCCAGGGAGCUGACUCUGGAAAGAAGCACCACCCUCGAACAAUCAAUAUUGAUCUUCACGUAUCGGUGCAGUGUGUGCAUCUCUGUGCCAGCUCUGCACGGGCGAUGGCUAAUUUAAAGAAUUCAGUCUCGAGACUUCCCUGGUGGGGCACAGUGGGUAAGAGUCCACCUGCCAAUGCAGGGGACACAGGUUCGAUCGCUGGUCCAGGAAGAUCCCACGUGCCACGGAGCAGUGAAGCCCGAGCGCCACAACUACUGAGCCCGCGCACCUAGAGCCCGUGCUCCAGAACAAGAGAAGCCACCGCAGUGAGAAGCCCACACACUGCAACAAAGAGUAGCCGUCGCUCUCCACAACUAGAGAAAGCUGGCGCGCAGCAACGAAGACCCAACGCAGCCAAUAAAGAAAGAAAGAAAGAACUCAGUCUCGCAAAACCAGAGCCAGUGAAUUCUUGGAGACACAGCACGAACUUUGUUAUUUUAUAAGCUUCUGUCUCGUGAAGUAUAAUAGAGCCACAGGAAUUCCAUAAAACAUGCACAUCACAGUUUAAUGACUUAUCCAUAAACUUGUGUGUGCUUGUCACCAAAUCAGGAGACGGAGCGCUGCAGACCCGAGCACGCAGCUCUCCCCGCCCUCCGCCAAAGUUUCUGCUCACUUCCUUGAAACCACUUCCUUGGGUGUUUAUUGGUACUUUGAUCACGUUUUAGUUUGGCUUUGCCUGUUGUUUGAACUGUAUACAAAUGGAAUCAUAGGCAUGAUCGUGGCGUCUGGUUUCCUUGGUCCAACUUGAUGCCUGUUGCUGUGUCUGCCCUUUAUCCCUUUCAGCGCUGGUGCCGCACCCCCGUGCGCGUGUGCCACAGGUCACACCCACGUUACUGGUGCUGAGCGUUUGGGCUUUAGUUUGGGGGUGUUACAAAUAAAGCUGUUGUGGACGUUCUUAUGCUCAUGCACUGAUGCACUUGAGGCUGCGUGUUGUUGGAUCAUGGGUAAUAUAUACAUAUUCAGCUUUUUGUGCUCUUUUUUUUUAAUAUAAAUUUAUUUAUUUAUUUAUUGGAUUUAUUUUUUUAUUGGCUGUGUUGGGUCUUUGUUGCUGCACACGGACGUUCUCUUGUUGCAGCGAGCAGGGGCUACUCUUCAUUGUGGUG